rnacentral:snRNA from 14 species
ACUCCUGCGACUACCCAAAUCGGGGUGGCUCGAGCGCAUAAUUUUUGGUAGUGGGGACAAGCGUUCGCGCUGUCCCUUU